AUUGAACGCUGGCGGCAGGCUUAACACAUGCAAGUCGAGCGAGCGGCGGACGGGUGAGUAAUGUCUGGGAAACUGCCUGAUGGAGGGGGAUAAAUACUGGAAACGGUCGCUAAUUCCGCAUACCAUCAGAUGUGCCCAGCUGGGAUUAGCUAGUAGGUGGGGGAAUGGCUCACCUAGGCGACGAUCCCUAGCUGGUCUGAGAGGAUGACCAGCCACACGGGAACUGCGACACGGUCCAGACCCCUAGGGCAGGCAGCAGUGGGGAAUAUUUCACAAGGGGCGCAAGCCUGAUGCAGCCAUGCCGCGUGUGUGAAGAGGGCCUUCGGUUUUUAAAGCACUUUCAGCGGGGAGGCGUUACUCGCAGAGAAAGCACCGGCUAACUCCGUGCCAGCCGCCGCGGUAAUAC
rnacentral:rRNA from 1 species